rnacentral:rRNA from 1 species
CACGCUGUAAACGAUGGAUACUUGAUGUAGGAGGUAUUGACCCCUUCUGUGUCGGAGCUAACGCGUUAAGUAUCCCGCCUGGGGAGUACGGUCGCAAGAUUAAAACUCAAAGAAAUUGACGGGGGCCCGCACAAGCGGUGGAGUAUGUGGUUUAAUUCGAUGCAACGCGAAAAACCUUACCUGGGUUUGGCAUUCUCUGAAGACUAUAGAGAUAUAGGGGGCCCGAAAGGGACAGAGUAACAGGUGC